GGGUGAGGACACAGGUUAGCCGCAUGUGCUGCGUCUCGCACGAUUCCCUUUCCUAUCUUGGUGGUCGAAGAACAAGCUGAGCUGCGAGAACAGCACCGGCGUCCGGGCUGCUUCCUGUCCCGGCUGGCUAUGCUCAUGCUGAUUCCAGGAGCGACGACGGGGGCGGCGAUGGACUCUGGAUCAAUCUCGGCGGCAAGGGAUCUAGAGGCGCGCGAGGAGCCGUGCGUAUUGGAGGAGGGCGGUAACGCUUUGCCCGAAUCGGCCGUAGGCUCGCCGGAUUCGGCCGUCGGAGCGGCCUCGGCGGACAUGCGUUGGUUGGAUCAAGGAGGGGGCUUUGACUGAUGUCCAGUCCUCCGGCGCUUUCUGCAAGACCUUCAAUUCUGGGGGUGGAGAUGUGGCGUCCGCAAACCCCGGGUCUGCGACUCCUGCCGUCGUCUCGCACACCUCCAUCGAGUCCAGCCUCCGCAGUGCCACGGCGGAAUCCUGCACGACAUUCAGUUCUGGGGGCGUGGGCGUGUCGUCGGCAUGAGUCUGCGACAAGACGCCGACGGUCAUUCAAGCUGCGCCGUGCAGUCCUUAGGCCACAACGGUCCGGCUACGGGCAACACCACCAUCCGCGUUGGCUGGAAGCGCAGUGCAUAUUUCAACCCUGCACUUUUGCCCUAGUCUAAUUUACAACCCCGAACUCCAAUACCAUCUAAAUUACAACUCCCAACUCUCAAAACCGGCUAGGAUUCAACCCUCCCCUCUUUGUUGACCGGUUUUGACCUGGUUGACCAGUUUUACCAGUCAACAGGUCCAGUCAGCAUGCCACGUCAGCAAAAAAUGCAAAAAUUCCAAGGAAAAAAAACUGAAAAAUUGAAGAAAAUCCAGGAAAAGAAAUAAGAAAUCAAAUUUCCGAAAAACAGGGAAAAUAAAAAAAUGAAUUUCCAAAAAAACAAUAAUUUCCAGAAAAGACCCAAAAACUCAAAUUCCCGAAAAAAAUAUUUCUAGAAAAAAUAAAAAAACAUUUUUAUUUUCCCUAGCUUUUUUCGCAAACAAUUUUUUCGGAAUUUUGAUUUUUAAAUAUUUUUUCCUGAUCUUACAGAUUUUUAUUUACUUUUUCUUAAAAUUUUGAAAAAAAAAUCUGACGUGGCAUGCUGAUUGGACCCGUUGACUAGUCAAAACUGGUCACCCCAGGUCAAAACCGGUCAACAGGGAGGCGAGGGUUGAAUCCUGACCGGUUUUGAGACUCGGGGGUUGUAAUUUAGACGGUAUUGAAGUUCGGGGUUGUAAAUUAGACUAGGGCAAGAGUUUGGGGUUGAAAUAUGCACUUCUCUCUUCUAACUGCAGGCCAAGAGGUUCUCGUGCGCCAGACGAGAUGGCUGUAGUAGUUGAUCGCGUUUCGCCGCUUGAAGCUGCCAUUCGAGGAUUCGCUGGUAGGGGGACUGAGGUGGUGGUCAACCCGGCGCUUGGCACAAUUUUUGAUUCGCUGGUAGAGGCGUAUGAAUUCUACAAUCUCUAUUCAUGGGAGGUGCGGUUUGGGAUUCGAUACGGCAAAAGCAGGCAAAAUGUCAAUGGCACCAAAUGUAUGCAAGAGAUUGUGUGUGGCUGCGCUGGCAAACCAGAGAGGGAGAACAGUUGUGACAUGUGAUUUUCAUUUUCCAAUAAGGGAUGUCACAACUUGUUGGGACUGUAAAAUUGACUUAGUGCUGUUAUGCUUACAUUUCCUGCUUUGACGUUCCUCCUGAGGUUUUGAAAACGAGUUGAUAUGCUGGCUCGCUGUGUGGCGGCAUCUCUUUUAUA